ACGCUUCGGCAGCACAUGUACUAAAAUCGGGAUGAUACAGAGAAGAUUAACAUGGCCCCUACACAAGGAUGAUACACAAAGUUGUGAAGCAUUCCAUAUUUUU
rnacentral:snRNA from 1 species